UACGGGGGGAGCAAGCGUUGUUCGGAUUUACUGGGCGUAAAGGGCGCGUAGGCGGCGCAACAAGUCACUUGUGAAAUCUCCGGGCUUAACCCGGAGCGGCCAAGUGAUACUGUCGUGCUAGAGUGCGGAAGGGGCUACUGGAAUUCUCGGUGUAGCGGUGAAAUGCGUAGAUAUCGAGAGGAACACCUGAGGUGAAGGCGGGUUGCUGGGCUGACACUGACGCUGAGGCGCGAAAGCCAGGGGAGCAAACGGG
rnacentral:rRNA from 1 species